rnacentral:lncRNA from 1 species
CGCAGGAACUUGACCAUUUCGUCACUCCUGGCGGAACCGUUAGAUGCACUAGGUGAGCGAUCGCUGGGCCCGCAGGAGCCCGUUCGGCUCUACAGGUUCCUACCUGGGGAUAUCGGAAAGGCCUGAGAUAUGACAGCUGGGGCCUGGGGCCUGUGCGGCAGGAAGAGGGAAAGCUGUAGAAUUUUCUGUGAGAAGAGAUUGCAGUGUAUAUAACCAUGUGCUGAUACGGGAUGCCUGUGAUUGUGGAGAUGUGAUUGUGUGUGACUCUAAGACACUGUAAGGUACCUGCAACUGUGCGAGUAACUGUGUGUCCCGUGGUAUGUGUGUAAUGCAAACCUGAGACCAUGUGUGGCUAUGUGUGCGGGUGUGGCGCGACUACGAUUGUUCAGUGUAACUAUGCAUGUCGCCCUUUAAGUAUGACUGUGCCUACUAUAUAUAUAUGAGGUACUGUGGAGGGUCGGGAGAAGGGGAUAUGAAGCUCCUUUCAUCUGUGCGAUUGUGACUCAAGAACUCUGUGACCUCACCCUUGACCUGAAACACUGGGAUUGGACAGGAUGCGCCAUUUUCUUCCAGUUUCCAUUCCCUGUGCGUGGUGCUGAUGGGGAAAGGGGUGACCUCGUACCUGACCAGAUUGGGCACCAAGAAACACCUGCCCCAGUUCUUCCUUUCUCCAUGUGAGGGCCCCAGAAGAGGAGGGACGGAUGGAUGAUGAACUCCUACAAGCAAUGUCCAAGAUCUGGAAUCAGUGUGUGAGACCAAGAUAUUAUCUCAAAAGAAAUUUCAGUCAAGUAAUAUUUACCCUCAGAGACAUACCUACUUUUAUUCAGUCCACAAUUUGUAUUCCACAUCAAAAAACAUGGCUCAACUGGUAGAGCAUCUGCCUACCAUAUAGGAGGGUCCAGGGUUCAAGACCCAGGGCCUCCUGACCCAUGUGGUGAGCUGGUCCAUGAGCAGAGCUGCCAUGUGCAGGGAGUGCUGUGCCACGCAGGGGUGCCCCCACGUGGGGGUGCCCCAUGCACAAGGAGUAUACCCUGCAAGAGAGCCACCCUGCAUGAAAAAAGUGCAGCCUGCCCAUUAGUGGCGCUGCACACACGGAAAGCUGACACAGCAAGAUGACACGACAAAAAAGAGAUGCAGUUUCCUGGUGCCACCAAGGGUGCAAACAGACACAGAACACACAGCAAAAGGACACAGAGAGCAGACAAUGGGGACAAGGGGAGAGAAAUUAAUUUAAAUAAAUAAUAAGUAAAAUUAUUAAUGAAGAGAAACCCUGUGAAUGU